rnacentral:rRNA from 1 species
UAGCAUAUCAAUAAGCGGAGGAAAAGAAACUAACAAGGAUUCCCCUAGUAACUGCGAGUGAAGCGGGAAAAGCUCAAAUUUAAAAUCUGGCAGUCUUCGAUUGUCCGAGUUGUAGUCUAGAGAAGCAUUUUCCGCGCUGGACCGUGUACAAGUCUCUUGGAAUAGAGCGUCAUAGAGGGUGAGAAUCCCGUCCAUGACACGGACUACCAGUGCUUUGUGAUGUGCUCUCAAAGAGUCGAGUUGUUUGGGAAUGCAGCUCAAAAUGGGUGGUAAAUUCCAUCUAAAGCUAAAUAUUGGCGAGAGACCGAUAGCGAACAAGUACCGUGAGGGAAAGAUGAAAAGCACUUUGGAAAGAGAGUUAAACAGUACGUGAAAUUGCUGAAAGGGAAACGAUUGAAGUCAGUCGCGUUAUUCAGAACUCAGCCUUACCUCGGUAUGGUGCAUUUUCUGUUUAACGGGCCAGCAUCAGUUUUGAUUGCCGGAAAAAGGUUAGAGAAAUGUGGCACCUUCGGGUGUGUUAUAGUCUCUAAUUGUAUACGGUGGUUGGGACUGAGGAACUCAGUACACCUUUAUGGUCGGGGUUCGCCCACGUUUGUACUUAGGAUGCUGGCGUAAUGGCUUUAAGCGACCCGUCUUGAAACACGGACCAAGGAGUCUAACAUGCCUGCGAGUGUUUGGGUGGUAAACCCGAGCGCGUAAUGAAAGUGAAAGUUGGGAUCUCUGUCGUGGAGAGCACCGACGCCCGGACCAGAACUUCUGUGACGGCCCUGCGGUAGAGCAUGUAUGUUGGGACCCGAAAGAUGGUGAACUAUGCCUGAAUAGGGUGAAGCCAGAGGAAACUCUGGUGGAGGCUCGUAGCGAUUUCUGACGUGCAAAUCGAUUCGUCAAAUUUGGGUAAUAAGGGGCGAAAGACUAAU